rnacentral:rRNA from 1 species
AUUGAACGCUGGCGGAAUGCUUUACACAUGCAAGUCGAGCGGCAGCGCGGGGGCAACCCUGGCGGCGAGCGGCGAACGGGUGAGUAACACAUCGGAACGUGCCCAGUAGUGGGGGAUAGCCCGGCGAAAGCCGGAUUAAUACCGCAUACGACCUAAGGGUGAAAGCGGGGGAUCGCAAGACCUCGCGCUAUUGGAGCGGCCGAUAUCAGAUUAGGUAGUUGGUGGGGUAAAGGCCUACCAAGCCUACGAUCUGUAGCUGGUCUGAGAGGACGACCAGCCACACUGGGACUGAGACACGGCCCAGACUCCUACGGGUGGCAG